GUAGGUGGCAAGCGUUGUCCGGAAUUAUUGGGCGUAAAGCGCGCGCAGGGCGGUUCUUUAAGUCUGAUGUGAAAGCCCACGGCUCAACCGUGGAGGGUCAUUGGAAACUGGAGAACUUGAGUACAGAAGGGGAAAGCGGAAUUCCACGUGUAGCGGUGAAAUGCGUAGAGAUGUGGAGGAACACCAGUGGCGAAGGCGGCUUUCUGGUCUGUAACUGACGCUGAGGCGCGAAAGCGUGGGGAGCAAACAGGAUUAGAUACCCUGGUAGUCCACGCCGUAAACGAUGAGUGCUAAGUGUUAGGGGGGUUUCCGCCCCUUAGUGCUGCAGCUAACGCAUUAAGCACCCCGCCUGGGGAGUACGGCCGCAAGGCUG
rnacentral:rRNA from 1 species